rnacentral:rRNA from 1 species
GACGAACGCUGGCGGCGUGCUUAACACAUGCAAGUCGAACGGAAAGGCCCUGCUUUUGUGGGGUGCUCGAGUGGCGAACGGGUGAGUAACACGUGAGUAACCUGCCCUUGACUUUGGGAUAACUUCAGGAAACUGGGGCUAAUACCGGAUAGGAGCUCCUGCUGCAUGGUGGGGGUUGGAAAGUUUCGGCGGUUGGGGAUGGACUCGCGGCUUAUCAGCUUGUUGGUGGGGUAGUGGCUUACCAAGGCUUUGACGGGUAGCCGGCCUGAGAGGGUGACCGGCCACAUUGGGACUGAGAUACGGCCCAGACUCCUACGGGAGGCAGCAGUGGGGAAUAUUGCACGAUGGGCGGAGGCCUGAUGCAGCAACGCCGCGUGCGGGAUGACGGCCUUCGGGUUGUAAACCGCUUUCGCCUGUGACGAAGCGUGAGUGACGGUAAUGGGUAAAGAAGCACCGGCUAACUACGUG